ensembl:misc_RNA Metazoa_SRP Metazoan signal recognition particle RNA
GCCAGGUGUGGUGGCGUGCACCUGUAAUCCCAGCUACUCGGGAGGCUGAGGCAGGAGAAUCGUUUGAACCCGGGAGGGCAGAGGUUGCAGUGAGCUGAGAUCACGGCACUGCACUCCAGCCUGGGCAACAGAGUGAGACUCAGUCUCAC